ensembl:lncRNA
AGAUAACCCACAUGGUCACCAGUACAUUUAGCCAAAAGUCACAGUUGACAGAAAAAACCCCAAAUUUUUCUUCCACAGCGAGAUCUGAACGUCACCGAGCGGCGUAGACGACAUCGAUAUUAGUACAUGCACAUUACGAAGGAUUCAUAAUCCCAGCAUUUAUACAGAAACAUGCUAACAUACCCAAGUGCUAACCAUAACGACCUUGAUAUUCGUUGAUGGUAAUCUCCAACAGCGUCAUGUGAUUUUAGAACAGCAGUACAGUCAGAGACCCCCUGGAUAUACAUCACAGACACCAGUUCAACAACCGUUGAUUCAGGAGAUCUUCGAGAUCAUUCCCAGCUUCUGCUCAGCAUGUUGGGUAAUUUUAUGCGCAUAUCUGUGGCCACGAGCAUGACCUCCAGACACAAAGGCCAUGGUUGAGUGUAACUGGAGAGGUUAUCAGUCUUUAUCAGUUUUGACCAGUUCACUGACUGCUGUGCUGGUUUCCUUGACAUCCAUAGGAUUAUUUAAAGCGCGCCUAUUAUAGUUUUGAAAUGUGCCGAAUUUUGUUUUAAAGGUCUCAUGCUAUAGAUUUACAUUCAUCCAAGGUCCAAGAACACUUUUUAACGUGCUCCCCCCAGAGUCACAAACGACUCGUUAAAUGAUCCGUUCUAAAUGAUUCGUUCUAAACUCCUCCUUUCAGAGAGCGUACUCUGCUCUGAUUGGUCAGACAUCCCAGUCUGUUGUGAUUGGUCUACCGCUGUCAGCAUGUUUCAAAAAGGAAACACACACCACCAUAACGAGUUUCAGCUCCGUCUGUCAGCGAGCGGGUGAUGAAGAUCAGAGGCGGGGCUUUUUGUUAUAAACCUUACGUAGGUUAGUGCAGGAAGUAAAGUCUGGAAUCACCGACGACUCGUUUCAGCUGUUCAGAAUCGAUUCCUUCUUUUGGGAGUCGAUAGCUCCGUUUGAUUUUUGAAACUUUGCCGACUUUUUACACUCACAGACAGCUACGUAUAUAACACACUACAUGAAAGGUAAUAUUUGGAAAACCAUAAUAGGUGCAGUUUAACAGAGUGAGAUUCUUACCUCUGACGCUGAUGCGUUUGUUGUCAGACCUGUUGCAUGUGGUCCGAUGACCUGGUCAGUCUCGGCGGUCACGAGCGUUACACAAGUGCGGAAGCUUGAUUCUACAAAGACUAAAGCACCUGGGCUGGACAACAAAUAUGGAGAGAAGAUCAUAGUGAAGUUGUGUUGCUAGAUAAUGUAGUGGCGAUAUGGUUUUGCAAAACAUCAUACAUCAUCAUACAGAGAACCUGCAUGUCCGGAAGACUUAACGACCGUCUGCGUUAUUUAUUCUACAUGUGAGUGUUGUGGUUUCUUCCAAACAUCUAGAAAAAUACUCAUCUGGAAAAUCUCUCUCUCUUUCUCUCUCUCUUUCCUCUUUCUGUCUCUCUCGCUCCCUCU